GUGCCAGCUACUGACUUCGGGGACGAUACGGCGUCAGCGGCGGACGGGUGAGUAAUGCCUAGGAAAUUGCCCUGAUGUGGGGGAUAACCAUUGGAAACGAUGGCUAAUACCGCAUGAUGCCUACGGGCCAAAGAGGGGGACCUUCGGGCCUCUCGCGUCAGGAUAUGCCUAGGUGGGAUUAGCUAGUUGGUGAGGUAAGGGCUCACCAAGGCGACGAUCCCUAGCUGGUCUGAGAGGAUGAUCAGCCACACUGGAACUGAGACACGGUCCAGACUCCUACGGGAGGCAGCAGUGGGGAAUAUUGCACAAUGGGCGCAAGCCUGAUGCAGCCAUGCCGCGUGUAUGAAGAAGGCCUUCGGGUUGUAAAGUACUUUCAGUCGUGAGGAAGGCGGCGUCGUUAAUAGCGGCGUUGUUUGACGUUAACGACAGAAGAAGCACCGGCUAACUCCGUGCCAGCAGACGCGGGAAUCAGGA
rnacentral:rRNA from 1 species